rnacentral:rRNA from 1 species
AUGAACGCUAGCUACAGGCUUAACACAUGCAAGUCGAGGGGCAGCAUGGUCUUAGCUUGCUAAGACUGAUGGCGACCGGCGCACGGGUGAGUAACACGUAUCCAACCUGCCGUCUACUCUUGGACAGCCUUCUGAAAGGAAGAUUAAUACAAGAUGGCAUCAUGAGUCCGCAUGUUCACAUGAUUAAAGGUAUUCCGGUAGACGAUGGGGAUGCGUUCCAUUAGAUAGUAGGCGGGGUAACGGCCCACCUAGUCUUCGAUGGAUAGGGGUUCUGAGAGGAAGGUCCCCCACAUUGGAACUGAGACACGGUCCAAACUCCUACGGGAGGCAGCAGUGAGGAAUAUUGGUCAAUGGGCGAGAGCCUGAACCAGCCAAGUAGCGUGAAGGAUGACUGCCCUAUGGGUUGUAAACUUCUUUUAUAAAGGAAUAAAGUCGGGUAUGCAUACCCGUUUGCAUGUACUUUAUGAAUAAGGAUCGGCUAACUCCGUGCCAGCAGCCGCGGUAAUACGGAGGAUCCGAGCGUUAUCCGGAUUUAUUGGGUUUAAAGGGAGCGUAGAUGGAUGUUUAAGUCAGUUGUGAAAGUUUGCGGCUCAACCGUAAAAUUGCAGUUGAUACUGGAUAUCUUGAGUGCAGUUGAGGCAGGCGGAAUUCGUGGUGUAGCGGUGAAAUGCUUAGAUAUCACGAAGAACUCCGAUUGCGAAGGCAGCCUGCUAAGCUGCAACUGACAUUGAGGCUCGAAAGUGUGGGUAUCAAACAGGAUUAGAUACCCUGGUAGUCCACGCAGUAAACGAUGAUAACUCGUUGUCGGCGAUACACAGUCGGUGACUAAGCGAAAGCGAUAAGUUAUCCACCUGGGGAGUACGUUCGCAAGAAUGAAACUCAAAGGAAUUGACGGGGGCCCGCACAAGCGGAGGAACAUGUGGUUUAAUUCGAUGAUACGCGAGGAACCUUACCCGUGCUUAAAUUGCAGAUGAAUUACGGUGAAAGCCGUAAGCCGUAAGGCAUCUGUGAAGGUGCUGCAUGGUUGUCGUCAGCUCGUGCCGUGAGGUGUCGGCUUAAGUGCCAUAACGAGCGCAACCCUUGUUGUCAGUUACUAACAGGUCAUGCUGAGGACUCUGACAAGACUGCCAUCGUAAGAUGUGAGGAAGGUGGGGAUGACGUCAAAUCAGCACGGCCCUUACGUCCGGGGCUACACACGUGUUACAAUGGGGGGGUACAGAGGGCCGCUACCACGCGAGUGGAUGCCAAUCCCCAAAACCUCUCUCAGUUCGGACUGGAGUCUGCAACCCGACUCCACGAAGCUGGAUUCGCUAGUAAUCGCGCAUCAGCCACGGCGCGGUGAAUACGUUCCCGGGCCUUGUACACACCGCCCGUCAAGCCAUGGGAGCCGGGGGUACCUGAAGUGCGUAACCGCGAGGAGCGCCCUAGGGUAAAACUGGUGACUGGGGCU